rnacentral:rRNA from 1 species
CGAGCUGAGCGCGACGCCGCGUGGGGGAUGAAGGCCUUCGGGUUGUAACCCCUUUCAGCAGGGAAGAAGCGAAAGUGACGGUACCUGCAGAAGAAGCGCCGGCUAACUACGUGCCAGCAGCCGCGGUAAUACGUAGGGCGCAAGCGUUGUCCGGAAUUAUUGGGCGUAAAGAGCUCGUAGGCGGUUUGUCGCGUCUGCUGUGAAAUCCUGAGGCUCAACCUCGGGCUUGCAGUGGGUACGGGCAGACUAGAGUGCGGUAGGGGUGACUGGAAUUCCUGGUGUAGCGGUGGAAUGCGCAGAUAUCAGGAGGAACACCGAUGGCGAAGGCAGGUCACUGGGCCGCAACUGACGCUGAGGAGCGAAAGCAUGGGGAGCGAACAGGAUUAGAUACCCUGGUAGUCCAUGCCGUAAACGUUGGGCACUAGGUGUGGGGCUCAUUCCACGAGUUCCGUGCCGCAGCAAACGCAUUAAGUGCCCCGCCUGGGGAGUACGGCCGCAAGGCUAAAACUCA